CAGACACCUAAUAGGGACACUCAAUAAAUAUUAAUUAAAGAAUGCAGCCACAUUGGCUUACGCGCUGGCCAGAUCCUUUAAAGUGUCAAGAAUAUUCCAUGAGAGAUUGAGUGUUAGGCUGGAAGGCUAUGUGGAGGCGGAGAGGACAGAAACGUAUGGAGUAAUGGAGUGCAUUCUCUUGGAAGAUGAAAAUACCCACCCGCCCCAGGGGGAACCUAUCUGUCACUGUCACAAGCACAUAAGGAGGAAGGGAACGUGCGCUUGUGGAGUGCCUUCUGGGACCUGCAUUUUUCUUGCUGGAGUGGGAUUUAUUCUGCUUCUCCUGUAACUUCUGCAUCUCCAAGGCCAGUGGCUGACAAUAGGGAAGAGCUGGUUGAGACCAAGGAUUAACGUCAGAGAGUUUCUUCAUCAUCUCCAUCAUCAAAUUUCACUUAACAUGCUCUGCCCAUUCCAAGAGAAAAAGAGGAAUGAACGUGAGCUCUAUUUGGACAUACAGCCAUUUAGUCCAAAAAUGCAGCCGGCAGAGAUUCCACAGCUGGAGAGCUGACUGGAGAAAACUGCCUUCUGAGGGAGAUACCCUCCCAGAACCCACUGCAGGGACCUCACUUUCAUCACUGACUUCCUAUGGCUUGGGAGUGUUUAUAGAUAAAGUUAUACUCUUAGGUGAUAAAUGUAGCGUGGGUAUUGAAAGUUAGCUCGAA